UGGAGGACUGAGAAGGUGAGGCAGAUCUGUACCAUGCUGCCUUCCACUGGUUAAGACCUCCCAGAGCGAAGGGUGCCAAGGCAGAGGAUGUCCCUCUGCCACCCUCGGAGGGGCAGCGCUGUGCUGGCCGACAUUUG
ensembl:snoRNA SNORA47 small nucleolar RNA, H/ACA box 47